AGAUGGAAGUUAAAAGUCGUAACAAGGUUUCCGUAGGUGA
rnacentral:rRNA from 1 species